rnacentral:tRNA from 1 species
GUAGCUCAGUAGGUAGAGCAAUGGACUGAAAAUCCAUAUGUCGCUAGGUUCGAGUCCAGCCCAGACCA